AUGUGUGUGUGUGCCUCCAUCUCUCUACACAGUCAUUGUCUCUGUCUCUAUCGUCCAUCUCUCUACACAGUCAUUGUCACUGUCUCUACCGUCCAUCUCUCUACACAGUCACUGUCUCUACCGUCCAUCUCUCUACACAGUCAUUGUCUCUGUCUCUAUCGUCCAUCUCUCUACACAGUCAUUGUCACUGUCUCUACCGUCCAUCUCUCUACACAGUCAUUGUCACUGUCUCUACCGUCCAUCUCUCUACACAGUCAUUGUCACUGUCUCUACCGUCCAUCUCUCUACACAGUCAUUGUCACUGUCUCUACCGUCCAUCUCUCUACACAGUCAUUGUCUCUACCGUCCAUCUCUCUCUACAGUCACUGUCUCUACCGUCCAUCUCUCUUUACAGUCAUUGUCUCUGUCUCUACCGUCCAUCUCUCUCUACAGUCAUUGUCUCUGUCUCUACCGUCCAUCUCUCUACACAGUCAUUGUCUCCAUCUCUACCGUCCAUCUCUCUACACAGUCAUUGUCUCUGACUCUACCGUCCAUCUCUCUCUACAGUCACUGUCUCUACCGUCCAUCUCUCUACACAGUCAUUGUCUCUGUCUCUACCGUCCAUCUCUCUACACAGUCACUGUCUCUGUCUCUACCGUCCAUCUCUCUACACAGUCAUUGUCUCUGUCUCUACCGUCCAUCUCUCUCUACAGUCACUGUCUCUACCGUCCAUCUCUCUACACAGUCAUUGUCUCUGUCUCUACUGUCCAUCUCUCUACACAGUCACUGUCUCUGUCUCUACCGUCCAUCUCUCUACACAGUCAUUGUCUCUGUCUCUACUGUCCAUCUCUCUCUACAGUCACUGUCUCUACCGUCCAUCUCUCUACACAGUCAUUGUCUCUGUCUCUACUGUCCAUCUCUCUACACAGUCACUGUCUCUGUCUCUACCGUCCAUCUCUCUACACAGUCACUGUCUCUGUCUCUACCUUCCAUCUCUCUACACAGUCAUUGUCUCUGUCUCUACCGUCCAUCUCUCUACACAGUCACUGUCUCUGUCUCUACCGUCCAUCUCUCUACACAGUCACUGUCUCU
rnacentral:lncRNA from 1 species